GGCGAGAGGAGUACGUGGCAUCGACAGGGGAGCCUGCCUGCCGCGUCUGGACCCGCGUUUCAGUUGCUGUUGGGACAUCCUGAAAGGAAAGUCAUAGAAGAAAUUGAAGAGUCAAGACUGAAAAGAGGUUGUGAGGUGGUCGUUGAAUCCAUGAGGCUGAAUGAGGUUGCUGAGGGACAAGGUGCAUCUCAUUACGUUUGAUCAACUGUGUUAAAUAAGUUGCAAAUGUUUCUCCUUCACAGAGGCUAGCGAAGAUUAGAAGGAGAAAACGGCGGACU